GGGGGAACAAACUAGACAAGCUCCAGAAAAAAUUUUGUUCCCAUCUUGUAUGUGUGCUCCUAUAUGAUCACUAAGAUCAGUAGUAAGUGGGCAUUCCUAACAGCAUUCCAAGAAAGGUUGAUACUGCAGAAAUGCAACUGCUCUGUAUGCUGGGCUGGGCUGAAAGCAGCAGCAAUGAAUACCCUCCAGUAUUUAGCCUGUCAUCUCUCCCCACCUUUCCUUUCUUAUUAAGAAGAUGAUGCCUUUCCCAUUUCAGUGAAAGGAAUAAGAAAUAAUAUCGACAAGACAGAUGACCAUAUGGAAAACAUGGAGAAAUGCAAGACUGCUGCAAGAUUAAAUAUCAACAGCUCUACUCCCCAUUUGAAUCCAGCUAGAAGCUUGUUCAGAAUUUCUUCAAAUUCAGGGACCAUCACACCUGGAGGUAACCUGGAAACCUGUGCUGUUAGAGAAAAGCUCUAGCUGCUCCUUGGACCCCUCAACUUUUUUUUUUUUACUUUUUUUUUUUUUUUUAUAUGAAGAAAGAAGGAUUUUUUUUUACUUCUUUCACAUUUUCUCAGCCAUUCCUCUCCUAUCAGAUGAUGGUUAGAAACAUGUUUUCCUCAGAAAUUUCCUUUGGAUUUGAACUAGUCUGACAAAUCAGAGUUUAAAUUGCAAAAUUAAAUUAUUAUCCUAAUUUCUUCAUCUAUGUGCUUAAUUUAAUUAUAUUAUGUCAUAUAUGAACAAAGCAAGUCUUCUAAUUUUUGCAUAAAGGAAACCAAUAGCAAGAUUCAAAUUCUUUUUUGUCUGGUCGCAAUGUGAAGGUCUGCUAUCUGUAAAUCUUUCCACAAAAGCUCCUUUUAAAUUAUCAAUGUUUCUUUCUAUACACAUUAAGAAAACAACCUUACAUUUAAAUAACACUUGAUUUUAAUAUUUAUUUAACCUUUCAGUAAAAAUUUUUAUUGAAUAUCAUUUCAAUAUUUUAAUUUUUUAACAAUAAAUAAAAUCCAAACCUGCAUUUAAAUAAUGCUAAAUUUGUGACGCAAAUUGCCUCAAGCCAAGCAACUCCAAAGUCAAAUUGAAAAUAUAUUGUUAUUUGUAUUCCAUUUAAAACAAAACAAACCGAAGCCCAAGGAUAGAAUUGGAAAGAGUUAUGAAAGGUCCUGAUGUAAUAAAAGAAAUCUUCUGAGUACAUUA